rnacentral:rRNA from 1 species
UACGUAGGAGACGAGCGUUGUCCGGAAUUAUUGGCGUAAAGAGCUCGUAGGCGGUCUGUCGCGUCUGCUGUGAAAACCCGAGGCUCAACCUCGGGCCUGCAGUGGGUACGGGCAGACUAGAGUGCGGUAGGGGAGAAUGGAACUCCUGGUGUAGCGGUGGAAUGCGCAGAUAUCAGGAAGAACACCGAUGGCGAAGGCAGUUCUCUGGGCCGUAACUGACGCUGGAGGAGCGAAAGCGUGGGGAGCGAACAGG